rnacentral:rRNA from 1 species
AGUGAACGCUGGCGGUAGGCCUAACACAUGCAAGUCGAACGGCAGCACAGUAAGAGCUUGCUCUUACGGGUGGCGAGUGGCGGACGGGUGAGGAAUACAUCGGAAUCUACUUUUUCGUGGGGGAUAACGUAGGGAAACUUACUCUAAUACCGCAUACGACCUACGGGUGAAAGCAGGGGAUCUUCGGACCUUGCGCGAUUGAAUGAGCCGAUGUCGGAUUAGCUAGUUGGCGGGGUAAAGGCCCACCAAGGUGACGAUCCGUAGCUGGUCUGAGAGGAUGAUCAGCCACACUGGAACUGAGACACGGUCCAGACUCCUACGGGAGGCAGCAGUGGGGAAUAUUGGACAAUGGGCGCAAGCCUGAUCCAGCCAUACCGCGUGGGUGAAGAAGGCCUUCGGGUUGUAAAGCCCUUUUGUUGGGAAAGAAAAGCAGCAGGUUAAUACCCCGCUGUUCUGACGGUACCCAAAGAAUAAGCACCGGCUAACUUCGUG